GGACAGAACGAGGGAACGCAACAGAGGUAGGCCGGAGCCACUGCCGUCGCCAUGACCCGCGGUAACCAGUGUGAGCUUGCCCGCCAGAAGAAUAUGAAAAAGCAGAGUGACUCGGUUAAGGGAAAGCGCUGAGAUGACGGGCUUUCUGCUGCAGCCCGCAAGCAGAGGGACUCGGAGAUCAUGCAGCAGAAGCAGAAAAAGGCAAACGAGAAGGAGGAGGACCCAAGCAGCUUUGUGGGUUACUGUCCGCUGGACAGUGCUACCCUAGAAAAUUCUUUCUACCAGCUAGGUUGUGUCCAACCCUCUUGCCCUUCGCCUGUGUGCCUGGAGUCAGCCCCACCACACUGGCGUUUCCUCCUGCAGUACUCACGGGUCCCAGCACCAAUGGCUUUCAUUCCCUUUGCCCUGAGUCUGCAGCGGGUCCCCUUUGUGCUCCCUUCCCCUUAGGUAGUCUCUCUCCCCCUGGACCACUCCUGGGGGUGAGGGGGUUACCCCUUCCCAGUGUUUUUUAUUCCUGUGGGGCUCACCCCAAAGUAUUAAAAGUAGCUUUGUAA